UAUCAAACAGGUGUUCCAAGUCACCGAGCUCAGCAACACGGUCAGUACGUGGAUCUCUUACCACUGGAAGGUUUAGGGUUACGAGUCUUACUCAGUCAAAGUUCACGAUAACAUUUUCUUUUUCAGUAAGUUGUACAAAAUGAGAGGAAGAUACAAAAGAAAGGACCCGAGAGAAAGAAGUGAUGAAACAGCAGACGCCGUUGCUGAGCUUUCCCCUCUGUCAGGUGACACCGCGGUGGGCUUGACCGAGCCUGACACACCUCUCCCCGGUUUACACCGUCAAGGAUGUGGGUUGCAGUAAAAAAGGUGCAAGAUGUUCCAUUUAUGGAAAUGAGAAGGUCUACCUUGGAGUACGUGUCAAAAUGCCAGUAAAGGAUCUGCUGAGAAACAUCCGUCUAGCUCAAGGGUGGGAACCUCAGGAUUUUCAGGAGACCUGCAGCAAAACAUUCAAAGGAGACAAGAAACGAGUCAAAACUCGCACAGGACGCCGAACUACCAAGAGAAAACACCCAACAAAAAGCCUGGAGGAGCUGGCAAUCAUUGUUGAGGUGCUGGAGGAGGAUCUUAAGACUGGAAACACAUACUGCUCCCUUUCCCAAUGUCCCCCCUCCUCUGAACCUCCACUGUCCCCUGAGCUGUCUCCAACUGGGUACAACAGUGAUGAGUCGGAUGAAAUGAUCCCCAGCCCCCAGUCCUACAUGACCUACUCACCAGGCACAGCAGAGUACUACCAGGUCCCAUCUCCUCCUGGCUUUAUGCAUGGAGGCCUUCAGCCCUCCAGCACAAACAUGGAAAGAGAUAGUGAAAGAGGGGAGGAGUGGUUUGAUCCCCAGAACCACAACUGGAACCUGAACAGCUAUGCUUUCUUCUGGACCCAGCUGCAGAAAGAGGAGAACCAACUGAGAGACAUCUCCGAUGCAGUGCUGCUGGCCACUGACGGACAAGGCAGAGCAGCUCUCCAUAAAGUGGCAUGUGUUGGAAAGAGGGCACUGGGUUACGCCAUUGCUAAAAGGAUGGCUGCACUCAACAGCCUGGACUUUAAAGACUCUGAUGGAAUGACUGCCCUCCUGCAUGCGGCGAAUCACAACCAUCACCUUAUGGUGGCAGAUCUGAUCAGUCUGGGGGCCAACGUCAAUGAGACAAACAACUUAGGAAAGUCCUGCCUCCACCUGAGUGCUGAGAAAGGCUACAUCCGGGUCCUGGAGGUUCUGAAACACACAAUGAUGGAUGGUGUGUACGUUGAUGUUGAAGCCACUGAUAACUGUGGAAUGAGUGUCCUCCAAUGUGCCUCGGUGGCUCUGAAGGCCACAGUGUGUGAGCUGGAAAGCAGUAAAUCCCCUGAUCACACCAGACUCCACACGCUCCGCAAAGGACAGAUGAUGGAGACCCUGGAGUGUCUGCUGUACAUGGGCAGCUACCUUCAUACCAUGGGAAGCCAGAGCAUGCAACCUAGAACUGCUUGACCCUCUGGCACAUCUGCCCGGCAGGGCAUUUUGGAGACCCAACAGUAAUGUUCUCAGUUGAUUCAGACUUGAAUUUGUCUUGGAGAGUGGGGUUAGUGGGGUUCUUUUAUCUCCAAGAAUCAGUUCAGGCCUGUCAUGUAAAGCAUCUGACGUUUUGUGUGUGGUAAAAAUGCCUGACUUGCAAUCAGGUAUUUAUUGUGACCUGCACAAAAACGACAGGUGCCCAUUAGCUGGUUUCUGUGAAACUUCCAUUGUUUGUUACAUUGGAGUAACAAGUUGUCCUCAGGUUAGUGUGUCUGUGGAGAUCCAGGUGUAAAAGGAGAAUAUUUUAGAAACAUGAAUGAAUAAAUAGAAACUCUUGGCUUUUUCAUGCCAGUUUCAAGGGUCCAGUCUUGUUUUAAAAGUCUGACCUCUAAAUACAGUUAGUUCCCAGCAGGGAGGGAAAGUGAUAAUUUGUUUAUGGGACUGUUUUUAGAUUAUAAUAUUCAAGCAGCAGCAGCACAGUUUGUUGCUGUAUAUAAUCCAAAAAACCUUUGAUUCCAUCGACUGGGCUGAUGAAGUUUUUUGUCAAGAACUGGUCAGUAUAUCUGUGAGUAAAGAUUAUUCUGUUGUACAACCUGGACACUAGUCCUCCCCACUGGGUCCCACCUUGACUUGUAGUCAGAGAGAUUUGCAGUCAUAGAAUUUACAUAUUGGAUCUUUUAAAUGACAUUUGUACUAGAGGACAUGACAAGUUUUAGUGAGUAAUGUAUGGUGAUGAGGAGUAAAUAUGGUUUCAUUUGACUGCCUUCACAUGACUCAACCCAUUUAAAAUCACAGUUUUUAGUCUCAUGUGCAAGGAGUUUGCUUUUGUGUACACAUUACUUCUUAGCAUACACUCAUACAGAGCACUUUAUUAUGAACACCUGGACAUCUGUUUAUUCAUGCAGUUAUCCAAUCAGCCAAUCAUGUGGCAGCAGGGCAAUGCAUAACAUCAUGCAGAUACAGAUCAGAAGCUUCAAUUCACAUCAAACAUUACCCCCGUGAAUUUCACACACAACAGUCUCUAGAGUUUACUUAAAAUGGUAAACACUCUCUACAAAUGUGGUGAGCAAAAAAGUAUUUCAGAAUGCACAACACGUCAAACAUUGAGGCAGAUGGCCACGUAACCAACCUGCCUUGAAGGUGUACGGAAUGUAGUACGUAAUGUUCUCAUUGCACACUUUUGGCCCCUUUAUACGAAUUAAUAAUUGCAUGAAUGCCAAUUUAUCAUCACCCAAUGACUAUUUCCAGCAUGAUAAUGCACCAUGUCACAAAGUAAAAGAAAUCUCAAAUUGGUUUUUAUCAAUAUAACAAUAAGCUCAGUGUACCUCACUGGCCUCCCCUGUCACCAGAUCUGAAUCCAUGUCAACAUGGAUCGGAAUCUCAAAGGAAUAUCUUCUUGUGGAAUCCAUCCCACAGAGCCUCAGUUGUUUUGAGAGCAAUAUGAGGCCCUACUCACUAUUAACAUGGUGUUCCUAAUAAAGUGCUUGGUAAAGGUAUAGUUAGGUUUGUCUACAACUAUAUAGUACAUGUGUAAAAUGUGAUGUUAUACAAUCUGUUUUUGAAAAUUUACAUGAAUUAAUAUGCUUAAAGGAAUAUUUAAGCAUUUUUGGUAUAUACAGUUGUUUGCUUUCUUAUUGGGAGUUAGACAAGAGUAUCACUUUAUUACACUUAAUUUCUUUGUGUUCAUUAGAGCGGUGUUUAAAAUGUGUUUAGCUUGGGCUGCUUAGCUAAAAGACAAGAAGCAGGGAGAAGCAAGACACUCACAAGCAAAAUCAAAGAUGCCUUUCAACAACUCUGAAGCUGUCAAAAGUACACAUUGUAUCAUCUGUAUGUGACUAGCAAGCUGUACUUUCAACCUAUAGACAAGAAAAGCUCUCUUCUUGCUUUUCCCCUGUAUACAGGUUUUGUGCUAAGCUAAGCCAAACACUAAUAUCUCCUAGACUUUGACAUAUGCUAUCGAGAUAAUGACUUCAAGAUGAUGACUUCAUUUAUGAGUGGUCAUAAUGUUUUGGCUCUCUGUUUAUGUUAUUACUUUAAGCCAUCUAUGAGCUAUUCUUGGGAACUGUGAUACUUGAUUAUGACUCACAUCAGUUAGAGCCAUAUGAUCUAUGCUGUCAGUAAUUUACUUUAAAAUGUAUUGCUAAAUCUUGUUUAGUCAUUAACACUCCUCUGGAGAAUUCAUGUUUUUUCACAGAGGAUUUGUCUGAAUUCUCAAAGAGCUCGUUUUCUAGUUGACACUGGAUAACUUCACUUUUUUUGUUUUUCCUAUUUUGAAUAAAUAUGAUGUGUUUCUGGGUUCACCUAUGCUCAGAUUAAGAUAAUGGUGAGAGGUCUAGGAAGUUAUGUAGUGAUCUAUUCUUCAUAGUUUAAUAUUGUGGUGGUGGGCAACAGUGAAAAAGAUAAGACUACAUUAAUGUAGCUACAUAUGACAACAUGAGAGAUUUAUACAGACAACACAGAGAACAGUUACUACUGAUAAAUGUGAGAAGUGAUAGAUGGUCACUUAGUGGUAGUGCAGAGCUAAUAUUACAUUGAUAGAUUUAUUGUUGUCAUAUCUGGUCUAUAGUGGACCAGCUAUAUAUAACAUACCCCUGCUGCUGUAUAACAUACAGCAGGGGUCACGUGUAUAUCAAAAACCAACAGGGCAGGUUUUUUUUUUUUUUUACUUAUUGAAGAGUACUUUUAUACGCUUGAAUGAAUGACAUAAUUUUGUUCAUUUACUCUUGCAUAUUAAUACAUGGCAUUUUGCUACUUAGAUUAUAAUAUAAGGUCAUGUUAAAUUUAUGUUCUUAUGAAAGUUUAGUUGAUCACCUAGGUGCUUGUUCUACCUUGCAGGGACAUCGUAGUUUUAUUCAGCUCUUAGAGGUUUUACAGUGGGAAGGUUACAAAACUAAUUAAAGCUGCGAGCAGCGUUGAACGGGCCCUCGCACCCGGCGCCCGUCGGGGGAGCGGCGACCGCGGGACCCCGGCAACCGCGGGGUCAACGCAGGUCGCAGGGCACACGCUGGCGUAACAGUUCACACUUCCGAGAUGUAAAAAUUUUAAAUAAAAGCUUUUACGCUAAUUAUUUUCUGUGAUAAUAUUUUUCAGAGCUCAUCAUCUGUGACAGCUCUUGGCUCUCUUGACUGUAACCUCCCUGUGGCAGCUUCUCACAGACUCAAUCAACUCCUCUUCCCCUCCCCCCUCAAACACAAACACAAACACACACACACACACACACACACACACACACACAGAUACCCCCUCCCAAAAGGAGAUAAAACUCAGUUUUAACUUGAGUUUAAAAGCUUUGAGCUUUGAGCAAAAGCAUUUUUUUAAGUUCUGUUAUUGGGUGCAUAUAUAAAUCAUUUAUGCUUAAACAAGGCUUAUAAUGAAGUUAUUUGAACAGUGAAUAUCUCAUCUGCCUAAAGUCAGGGCGAAGCCACUAACCAGCUGUAGGGAUGGGUAUCAUUAGGAUUUUAUCUUUAUCCAUACAGACCCCUAUCAGUCCAGCUCAGACUGUUACUGGUUUAAGAGAGUGAAGUUUAUAGCAAUUUGCAAAAUUUGGAGAUUAGUGACAAACUAACCAGUUAGACUAUAUACAGACAAGCUUUCAUUUUAGCUGUUAGUAACAGUUUGCCAUGAGCUUAACCAGCGUGCUGUGCUUCCUGUUAAACAUGUUAUGAGACUGUGGACAAGGCUGAAAAUAUUACUUUACUAACUACUUGCCGAACAGGCGCUUUGACAAAGAAAAGGUAAAGGCCAGCAGCUUUUACUUUUCAAUGCACUUGUCGUCAACUUGAGUGGCUUAUAUUCAGCUGGUUCACCUCGACGCCCGUGGACCUAGUGCACUUUUCCUGUCGCCGUACACUGAGUAACACGAAAAAAUCAGCUGACCCCGUGUGAAAUUUCCUAACUGAUCAAAACCAAACUGUAAAGACAGCAUCAAUCCACGCUCAGCUUUGGUCAAGGGGAGACAUAUGGGAGAAGAUGAGUAGAGAGAUGGAAAGAAACAGAAAGGGUGAUGGAGAAAGAUUACAUGAAUUCAAAAUAACCUACAAUUCCUUAAAAUUAAUUUGAAGCCAGUUUAAUUUUUUGAGCCAGCUUUGACAUCUGCAGAUAUGAGUUUCUGAAGAGGGGCCUGCUGAGGUUAGAUGUGCUGAAUAAUAUCCAUUUUCAUAUCAGAAAAAACACUGCAUUAAACAUUGUCUUAGCUCACUGAGCUGAGGUCAACAGGUAAUAUAACCAACCUGUGAGGUGGCUCACCCCCGUAAGAUAAACACAUAAAUGAUCCCUGAUAGAACCGAUAAUUAAAGGCACAUCAGUGACAGGGAAUGCUAUUAAAACUAAACUAUAAACUGGUGACAUUAACUGCAAAAGAAGAUUUUUAUUGAUACAUUUCAGGUAGAAUUUAGUUUUCAAUAAGGAAAAUGCUGUAAGAAACCUGAAUUUGUUGCAACAAAUUUAAAAUAAAAGCUUUUAUGCUAAUUAUUUUCUGUGAUAAUAUUUUUCAGAACUCAUCAUCUGUGACAGCUCAUGGCUCUCUUGACUGUAACCUCCCUGUGGCAGCUUCUCACAGACUCAAUCAACUCCUCUUCCCCUCCCCCCUCAAACACACACACACAGACACACACACACAGAGACCCCCUUCCAAAAACCCAUCAAAGAGUAAUACAAUGGCUCCAUCUGUAGGAUAAAGUAGAGAGUCGCAACAGGAAGUUACCCCAAAAUCUGAGGUUUCAAACAGGAAGUUGGGUUUCCGAACUUUGACGGGCCAGAACCGGCACACGCUUCGACCCAAACUCACAAUUUUCGGAGCCAGUCUUCCAAAAAUUGUCAAGGAGGGGCUGACAACAUUUGAAGUGAAUCUGGUCACCCGUCUAGAAACUGGACAUCACACUAUAAAAUAUGUCAUUUCCUGCUAUAAAUAGGUGGCGCUACAACAAUUGUAUGAAUAUUGACAUAUGGAUGUGUGCAGAUAGGUACCAUUAACAAUCCUGUAAAGUUUGAUGCAGUUUGGACAAAGUAUGGCCGAAAUAUAGCAAAAAUAAAGCAACUUCCUGUUUCGUGGCGAGUAAUCGAACUUUGAGGGGCCAUAACUUCCACGCCCUUCAACAAAAACUCAAAAUCUGCCGCAAUUUAACAUCGUCUAUGUCUUAAGAACAUACUAUUAAGUUUUGAAGUCAAUGGGAUAAUGCGUCUAGGACUAGUUCGCGUUCAAGCGACCCCUGGAAAUGGCCAAAAACACACAAUUUUUUCACCUUCCGGUCAAAAUAAAAAUACUUUCUGUUGGGUUUAGAAUAUGGCUCCAAGAGACUUUUUGGUGCGUCAUGGGAUGUUACAUAUGUGUGCAGAUUUUCAGAUUUUUAGGCGCAACGGGCUUGAGGGGCUGUUCCGUUUAAAAAUGUAGGUGGCGCUACCGAGGGCAUUUUACCACGCCCAUGCUCAAGACCCCUAAAUUAUUAAAUUUUUCGCCGUGCCUGACGCGUCUGCAAAUUUUGGUAAGUUUUCACGCAUGUUAAGGCCCUCAAAAAGCCGAUCUAAGAGGCGGAAAAAGAAGAAAAAAAAUAAUAAUAAUAAUAAUUAAAGCUGCGAGCAGCGUUGAACGGGCCCUCGCACCUGGCGCCCGUCGGGGGAGCGGCGACCGCGGGACCCCGGCAACCGCGGGGUCAACGCAGGUCGCAGGGCACACGCUGGCGUAACAGUUCACACUUCCCAGAUGUAAAAAUUUUAAAUAAAAGCUUUUACGCUAAUUAUUUUCUGUGAUAAUAUUUUUCAGAGCUCAUCAUCUGUGACAGCUCAUGGCUCUCCUGACUGUAACCUCUCUGUGGCAGCUUCUCACAGACUCAAUCAACUCCUCUUCCCCUCCCCCCUCAAACACAAACACAAACACACCCACACAAACACACACAAACACAGAGAGAGAUACCCCCUCCCAAAAGGAGAUAAAACUCAGUUUUAACUUGAGUUUACAAGCUUUGAGCUUUGAGCAAAAGCAUUUUUUUAAAGUUCUGUUAUUGGGUGCAUAUAUAAAUCAUUUAUGCUUAAACAAGGCUUAUAAUGAAGUUAUUUGAACAGUGAAUAUCUCAUCUGCCUAAAGUCAGGGCGAAGCCACUAACCAGCUGUGGGGAUGGGUAUCAUUAGGAUUUUAUCUUUAUCCAUACAGACCCCUAUCAGUCCAGCUCAGACUGUUACUGGUUUAAGAGAGUGAAGUUUAUAGCAAUUUGUAAAAUUUGGAGAUUAGUGACAAACUAACCAGUUAGACUACAUACAGACAAGCUUUCAUUUUAGCUGUUAGUAACAGUUUGCCAUGAGCUUAACCAGCGUGCUGUGCUUCGUGUUAAACAUGUCAUGAGACUGUGGACAACGCUGAAAAUAUUACUUUACUAACUACUGGCCGAACAGGCGCUUUGACAAAGAAAAGGUAAAGGCCAGCAGCUUUUACUUUUCAAUGCACUUGUCGUCAACUUGAGUGGCUUAUAUUCAGCUGGUUCACCUCGACGUCGGUGGAUGUAGACGUGCACUUUUCCUGUUGCCGUACACUGAGUAACACGAAAAUAUCAACUGACCCCUUGUGAAAUUUCCUAACUGAUCAAAACCAAACUGUAAAGACAGCAUUAAUCCACGCUCAGCUUUGGUCAAGGGGAGACAUAUGGUAAGAUUACAUGAAUUCAUGUAAUCUUCUUUGAGGCUACAAUUUCAGACUUAACUAAGUCAUUCAUUAGUGUCUUGGCAGCGUUUAUGGGGUCUUUAGACAGGUCUCUCACUGGUUUUCUUUCCAGGGUCAUUGAAAUCUUUGGCUUCCUACCUCUGCCAGGCUUGUUCUGCACAGUGUGGCUCUCCUUGAAUUUCUCGGUGACGCUUCUCAUUUGAGUUCUUGACGCUUGGAAAUGCUGUGAUAACUUUGUAUAUCCUUCUCCUGCUUCCUGAGCAUCGACAAUUCUUCAAGUCUACAGUGAUUUCCUUAGUUUUUGGCAUGAUGCUUUCUCAAGUGACAGCUCAAAUCUUAACUGAAGUUUUUAUACCGCGUGUAAAGCAGCUCUUGGCUCUCCUGACUGUAACCUCUCUGUGGCAGCUUCUCACAGACUCAAUCAACUCCUCUUCCCCUCCCCCUUCAAACACAAACACAAACACACACACACACACACACACACAGAGACCCCCCUCCAAAAACCCAUCAAAGAGUAAUACAAUGGCUCCAUCUAUAGGAUAAAGUAGAGAGUCGCAACAGGAAGUUACCCCAAAAUCUGAGGUUUCAAACAGGAAGUUGGGUUUCCGAACUUUGACGGGCCAGAACCGGCACACGCUUCGACCAAAACUCACAAUUUUCUGAGCCAGUCUUCCAAAAAUCGUCAAGGAGGGGCUGACAACAUUUGAAGUGAAUCUGGUCACCCGUCUAGAAACUGGACAUCACACUAUAAAAUAUGUCAUUUCCUGCUAUAAAUAGGUGGUGCUACAACAAUUGUAUGAAUAUUGACAUAUGGAUGUGUGCAGAUAGGUACCAUUAACAAUCCUGUAAAGUUUGAUGCAGUUUGGACAAAGUAUGGCCGAAAUAUAGCAAAUAUAAAGCAACUUCCUGUUUCGUGGCGAGUAAUCGAACUUUGAGGGGCCAUAACUUCCACGCCCUUCAAUGAAAAGUCCGAAACUUUUGCAAUUUAACUUCGUCUAUGUCUUAAGAACAAAUUAUCAAAUUUUGAAGUCAAUCGGAUAAUGCGUCUAGGACUAGUUCGCGUUCAAGCGACCCCUGGAAAUGGCCAAAAACACACAAUUUUUUCACCUUCCGGUCAAAAUAAAAAUACUUUCUGUUGGGUUUAGAAUAUGGCUCCAAGAGACUUUUUGGUGCGUCAUGGGAUGUUACAUAUGUGUGCAGAUUUUCAGAUUUUUAGGCGCAACGGGCUUGAGGGGCUGUUCCGUUAAAAAUGUAGGUGGCGCUACCGAGGCCAUUUUGCCACACCCAUGCUCAAGACCCCUAAAUUCUUAAAUUUUUCGCCGUGCCUGACGCGUCUGCAAAUUUUCAGGAGUUUUGACGCAUGUUAAGGCCCUCAAAAAGGCGAUCAAAGAGGCGGAAAAAGAAGAAAAAAAAUAAUAAUAAUAAUAAUAAUAAUAAACCGAACGAAAACAAGAGGGUCCUUGCAACUCGUUGCAUGGCCCCGUUGGGCCCACGCAACUCGUUGCUCGGGCCCUAAUUAAAGCUGCGAGCAGCGUUGAACGGGCCCUCGCACCCGGCGCCCGUCGGGGGAGCAGCGACCGCGGGACCCCGGCAACCGCGGGGUCAACGCAGGUCGCAGGGCACACGCUGGCGUAACAGUUCACACUUCCCAGAUGUAAAAAUUUUAAAUAAAAGCUUUUAUGCUAAUUAUUUUCUGUGAUAAUAUUUUUCAGAGCUCAUCAUCUGUGACAGCUCUUGGCUCUCCUGACUGUAACCUCUCUGUGGCAGCUUCUCACAGACUCAAUCAACUCCUCUUCCCCUCCCCCCUCAAACACAAACACACACACACACACACACACAGAUACCCCCUCCCAAAAGGAGAUAAAACUCAGUUUUAACUUGAGUUUACAAGCUUUGAGCUUUGAGCAAAAGCAUUUUUUUUAAGUUCUGUUACUGGGUGCAUAUAUAAAUCAUUUGUGCUUAAACAAGGCUUAUAAUGAAGUUAUUUGAACAGUGAAUAUCUCAUCUGCCUAAAGUCAGGGCGAAGCCACUAACCAGCUGUAGGGAUGGGUAUCAUUAGGAUUUUAUCUUUAUCCAUACAGACCCCUAUCAGUCCAGCUCAGACUGUUACUGGUUUAAGAGAGUGAAGUUUAUAGCAAUUUGCAAAAUUUGGAGAUUAGUGACAAACUAACCAGUUAGACUACAUACAGACAAGCUUUCAUUUUAGCUGUUAGUAACAGUUUGCCAUGAGCUUAACCAGCGUGCUGUGCUUCGUGUUAAACAUGUCAUGAGACUGUGGACAACGUUUGAGCCAGCUUUGACAUCUGCAGAUAUGAGUUUCUGAAGAGGGGCCUGCUGAGGUUAGAUGUGCUGAAUAAUAUCCAUUUUCAUAUCAGAAAAAACACUGCAUUAAACAUUGUCUUAGCUCACUGAGCUGAGGUCAACAGGUAAUAUAACCAACCUGUGAGGUGGCUCACCCCCGUAAGAUAAACACAUAAAUGAUCCCUGAUAGAACCGAUAAUUAAAGGCACAUCAGUGACAGGGAAUGCUAUUAAAACUAAACUAUAAACUGGUGACAUUAACUGCAAAAGAAGAUUUUUAUUGAUACAUUUCAGGUAGAAUUUAGUUUUCAAUAAGGGAAACAGUGUAAGAAACCUGAAUUUGUUGCAACAAAUUUAAAAUAAAAGCUUUUAUGCUAAUUAUUUUCUGUGAUAAUAUUUUUCAGAGCUCAUCAUCUGUGACAGCUCUUGGCUCUCUUGACUGUAACCUCCCUGUGGCAGCUUCUCACAGACUCAAUCAACUCCUCUUCCCCUCCCCCCUCAGACACACACACACACACACACACACACACACACACACACACACACAGAGACCCCCUUCCAAAAACCCAUCAAAGAGUAAUACAAUGGCUCCAUCUAUAGGAUAAAGUCGAGAGUCGCAACAGGAAGUUACCCCAAAAUCUGAGGUUUCAAACAGGAAGUUGGGUUUCCGAACUUUGACGGGCCAGAACCGGCACACGCUUCGACCAAAACUCACAAUUUUCGGAGGACUUCUUCCAAAAAUUGUCAAGGAGGGGCUGACAACAUUUGAAGUCAAUCUGGUCACCCGUCUAGAAACUGGACAUCACACUAUAAAAUAUGUCAUUUCCUGCUAUAAAUAGGUGGUGCUACAACAAUUGUAUGAAUAUUGACAUAUGGAUGUGUGCAGAUAGGUACCAUUAACAAUCCUGUAAAGUUUGAUGCAGUUUGGACAAAGUAUGGCCGAAAUAUAGCAAAUAUAAAGCAACUUCCUGUUUUGUGGCGAGUGAUCGAACUUUGAGGGGCCAUAACUUCCACGCCCUUCAAUGAAAAGUCAGAAACUUUUGCAAUUUAACUUCGUCUAUGUCUUAAGAACAAAUUAUCAAAUUUUGAAGUCAAUCGGAUAAUGCGUCUAGGACUAGUUCGCGUUCAAGCGACCCCUGGAAAUGGCCAAAAGCACACAAUUUUUUCACCUUCCGGUCAAAAUAAAAAUACUUUCUGUUGGGUUUAGAAUAUGGCUCCAAGAGACUUUUUGGUGCGUCAUGGGAUGUUACAUAUGUGUGCAGAUUUUCAGAUUUUUAGGCGCAACGGGCUUGAGGGGCUGUUCCGUUAAAAAUGUAGGUGGCGCUACCGAGGCCAUUUUGCCACACCCAUGCUCAAGACCCCUAAAUUCUUAAAUUUUUCGCCGUGCCUGACGCGUCUGCAAAUUUUCAGGAGUUUUGACGCAUGUUAAGGCCUUCAAAAAGGCAAUCAAAGAGGCGGAAAAAGAAGAAAAAAAAUAAUAAUAAUAAUAAUUAAAGCUGCGAGCAGCGUUGAACGGGCCCUCGCACCCGGCGCCCGUCGGGGGAGCGGCGACCGCGGGACUCCGGCAACCGCGGGGUCAACGCAGGUCGCAGGGCACACGCUGGCGUAACAGUUCACACUUCCCAGAUGUAAAAAUUUAAAAUAAAAGCUUUUACGCUAAUUAUUUUCUGUGAUAAUAUUUUUCAGAGCUCAUCAUCUGUGACAGCUCUUGGCUCUCCUGACUGUAACCUCUCUGUGGCAGCUUCUCACAGACUCAAUCAACUCCUCUUCCCCUCCCCCCUCAAACACAAACACAAACACACACACACACACACACACACAAACACAGAGAGAGAUACCCCCUCCCAAAAGGAGAUAAAACUCAGUUUUAACUUGAGUUUAAAAGCUUUGAGCUUUGAGCAAAAGCAUUUUUUUUAAGUUCUGUUAUUGGGUGCAUAUAUAAAUCAUUUAUGCUUAAACAAGGCUUAUAAUGAAGUUAUUUGAACAGUGAAUAUCUCAGCUGCCUAAAGUCAGGGCGAAGCCACUAACCAGCUGUAGGGAUGGGUAUCAUUCGGAUUUUAUCUUUAUCCAUACAGACCCCUAUCAGUCCAGCUCAGACUGUUACUGGUUUAAGAGAGUGAAGUUUAUAGCAAUUUGCAAAAUUUGGAGAUUAGUGACAAACUAACCAGUUAGACUACAUACAGACAAGCUUUCAUUUUAGCUGUUAGUAACAGUUUGCCAUGAGCUUAACCAGCGUGCUGUGCUUCCUGUUAAACAUGUCAUGAGACUGUGGACAACGCUGAAAAUAUUACUUUACUAACUACUGGCUGAACAGGCGCUUUGACAAAGAAAAGGUAAAGGCCAGCAGCUUUUACUUUUCAAUGCACUUGUCGUCAACUUGAGUGGCUUAUAUUCAGCUGGUUCACCUCGACGCCGGUGGAUGUAGACAUGCACUUUUCCUGUUGCCGUACACUGAGUAACACGAAAAAAUCAGCUGACCCCUUGUGAAAUUUCCUAACUGAUCAAAACCAAACUGUAAAGACAGCAUCAAUCCACGCUCAGCUUUGGUCAAGGGGAGACAUAUGGUAAGAUUACAUGAAUUCAAAAUAACCUACAAUUCCUUCAAAUUAAUUUGAAGCCAGUUUAAUUUUUUGAGCCAGCUUUGACAUCUGCAGAUAUGAGUUUCUGAAGAGGGGCCUGCUGAGGUUAGAUGUGCUGAAUAAUAUCCAUUUUCAUAUCAGAAAAAACACUGCAUUAAACAUUGUCUUAGCUCACUGAGCUGAGGUCAACAGGUAAUAUAACCAACCUGUGAGGUGGCUCACCCCCGUAAGAUAAACACAUAAAUGAUCCCUGAUAGAACCGAUAAUUAAAGGCACAUCAGUGACAGGGAAUGCUAUUAAAACUAAACUAUAAACUGGUGACAUUAACUGCAAAAGAAGAUUUUUAUUGAUACAUUUCAGGUAGAAUUUAGUUUUCAAUAAGGGAAACAGUGUAAGAAACCUGAAUUUGUUGCAACAAAUUUAAAAUAAAAGCUUUUAUGCUAAUUAUUUUCUGUGAUAAUAUUUUUCAGAGCUCAUCAUCUGUGACAGCUCUUGGCUCUCUUGACUGUAACCUCCCUGUGGCAGCUUCUCACAGACUCAAUCAACUCCUCUUCCCCUCCCCCCUCAGACACACACACACACACACACACACACACACACACAGAGACCCCCUUCCAAAAACCCAUCAAAGAGUAAUACAAUGGCUCCAUCUAUAGGAUAAAGUCGAGAGUCGCAACAGGAAGUUACCCCAAAAUCUGAGGUUUCAAACAGGAAGUUGGGUUUCCGAACUUUGACGGGCCAGAACCGGCACACGCUUCGACCCAAACUCACAAUUUUCGGAGGACUUCUUCCAAAAAUUGUCAAGGAGGGGCUGACAACAUUUGAAGUGAAUCUGGUCACCCGUCUAGAAACUGGACAUCACACUAUAAAAUAUGUCAUUUCCUGCUAUAAAUAGGUGGUGCUACAACAAUUGUAUGAAUAUUGACAUAUGGAUGUGUGCAGAUAGGUACCAUUAACAAUCCUGUAAAGUUUGAUGCAGUUUGGACAAAGUAUGGCCGAAAUAUAGCAAAAAUAAAGCAACUUCCUGUUUCGUGGCGAGUAAUCGAACUUUGAGGGGCCAUAACUUCCACGCCCUUCAACAAAAACUCAAAAUCUGCCGCAAUUUAACAUCGUCUAUGUCUUAAGAACAUACUAUUAAGUUUUGAAGUCAAUGGGAUAAUGCGUCUAGGACUAGUUCGCGUUCAAGCGACCCCUGGAAAUGGCCAAAAACACACAAUUUUUUCACCUUCCGGUCAAAAUAAAAAUACUUUCUGUUGGGUUUAGAAUAUGGCUCCAAGAGACUUUUUGGUGCGUCAUGGGAUGUUACAUAUGUGUGCAGAUUUUCAGAUUUUUAGGCGCAACGGGCUUGAGGGGCUGUUCCGUUUAAAAAUGUAGGUGGCGCUACCGAGGGCAUUUUACCACGCCCAUGCUCAAGACCCCUAAAUUAUUAAAUUUUUCGCCGUGCCUGACGCGUCUGCAAAUUUUGGUAAGUUUUCACGCAUGUUAAGGCCCUCAAAAAGCCGAUCUAAGAGGCGGAAAAAGAAGAAAAAAAAUAAUAAUAAUAAUAAUAAUAAUAAUAAUAAUAAUAAUAAACAGACCGAAAACAAGAGGGUCCUUGCAACUCGUUGCAUGGCCCCGUUGGGCCCACGCAACUCGUUGCUCGGGCCCUAAUAAUAAUAAUAAUAAUAAUAAUAAACAGACCGAAAACAAGAGGGUCCUUGCAACUCGUUGCAUGGCCCCGUUGGGCCCACGCAACUCGUUGCUCGGGCCCUAAUUAGAGUUUAGAUUUUGUUUGUAUAUGUGUUUUGUUUUGAUGUACACAGAUGGGUUGGGGAUUCUGGUUUCUCUAUAUAAUAAACUAUUAUGUAUUUUGAGUCGAUGUUUUUUUGUUGUUGUUUUUUUUUUUUGCAUUAUAAGCAAUGUGAUGUUUGAUGACUCAUGCAGAUACUUACAGAUAAAGCAGAAAAAUUAUGUCAUAGUUUAAACCAACAGUUGCUUAAAUAUAAACACAUGAUGAACUCAAAUAUUUCAUCAUAUGAACAAGAAAUAUGUGUUUUGGGGUUUGUUUUUUUUUUUUUUGUUUUUUUUUUUAAUUCAUGUUUCAACUAGCAUAGCUAAAGGCUAGCUGCAUUUUUUGUAAUACUUACUGAUUCACAUUGAUGGUGGGUAUUGGCUGACGUCAUCAUAAUUCAUGCUUCUGUAACUAUAUUUUCAUCUUAAAGAGAUGAAUAAAGGUCUGGGUUCAAUAAACAA